CAUGGGUGGGGCACAGUCUCAGGUUGGGAGGUAUAUUGAUUUCCUAUUGCUGCUAUAACAAAUAACCACAAAUGUUUUGGCUUAGAACAAUAUGAAUGUAUUCUGUCAUUGUCCUAGAGGUCACAAGUCUAAAAUUGGUUGUGAUAUGGUUUGGAUUUAUGUCCCGGUCCAAAUCUCAUGCUGAAUGAUAACCCCCAGUGUUGGAGGAGGGGCCUAGUGGGAGGUGAACAGAUUAUGAGUGGAUUUCCCUCUUGCUAUUCUUAUGAUAGUGAGUGAGUUCUCAUGAGAUCUGGUUGUUUAAAAGUGUGUGGCAUCUCCCCCUUCGCUCUUUCUCUCUCCUGCUCCACCACGUAAGACGUACCUGCUUCCCCUUCACCUUUUGCCAUGAUCGUAAGUUUCCUGAGGCCUCCCCAGCCAUGCUUCAUGUACAGCCUGUGGAACCAUGAGCCAAUUAAACCCCCUUUCUUUAUAAAUUACCCAGUCUCAGGUAGUUCUUUGUAGCAAUGUGAGAAUGGACUAACACAGGUUGGAGGCCUGCAUUCCUUCUGAAGGCUUCAGGGAAGAAUCGUAUCUUGGGCUUUUCCAGCUCCUGGAAGCCACCUGCAUUCCUUGGCUCAUGGCUCUCCAUCUCUCCGAUUUCUGCUUCUGUCAUCACACCUCCCCCUCUGACUCUGACUCCCCUUCCUCCCUCUUUUUCCCUUAUGAGGACUCUUGUGAUCAUAUGGGGCCCACAUGGAUAACCCAGGAUCAUCUCCCCAUCUCAAAAUUCUUCCUCAUUUGAGUCUCUUUUGCCAUGUAAGGUAGCAUAUUCACAGGUUCCAGGGAUUAGGAGGUGACAUCUUUGGGGGCCAUCAUUCUUCCUACCACAGGAGGUGAGGGAAGGCUUCUCCCAGGAGCUGCCACUUGAGAGGAGACCCACACGACAAAAACAGAUGAGGAGGACAGGCUGCAAAGAUCCUGGACCUGGCACAAGCCUGCAGAUUCUGAGGAAAAUGCCAGCAUGACUGAAGUGAGCAGCAAGGGGAGGCUGGAGGGGGAGGCAGGGCCCAGGUCCCUCCGCAUUGCAGGAGCCAGAGAAGGAGCGCAGAUUUCAUUCUGAGUGCAGUGGAACGUGGGCAGAGGGCUGGAAAGUUGUGUUCUCACUGGGCUAACUUGUACAUGGAUGAAGACAGUUUCUCUGGCAGUUGUUUAGAGCAAUGCUGUCUGGUAGAAAUACAGUGUAAUCACAUUUGUCAGUUUAGAUGUUCUAGUAGCCACAUGUUAAGAAGUAAAAGGAAACAGCUGAAAUUAACCUUAAUAAAACAUUUUAUCUUUACCC
rnacentral:sRNA from 1 species